rnacentral:rRNA from 1 species
GAGGAAUAUUGGUCAAUGGGCGCGAGCCUGAACCAGCCAAGUAGCGUGAAGGAUGACUGCCCUAUGGUUUGAAAACUCCUUUUUUAGGGGAUAAAGGGGAGCACGGUUGGCUUAAUGGUUGUUACUUAAGGACUAGCCUUCGCCUACUUCCUGCCAGCAGCCGCGGUAAUACGGAGGAUGCAAGCGUUAUCCGGAUUUAUUGGGUUUAAAGGGAGCGUAGGCGGACUAUUAAGUCAGCUGUGAAAGUUUACGGCUCAACCGUGAAAUUGCAGUUGAAACUGGUCGUCUUGAGUGCAGUAAAGGUGGGCGGAAUUCGUGGUGUAGCGGUGAAAUGCUUAGAUAUCACGAAGAACUCCAAUUGCGAAGGCAGCUCACUGGAGUGUAACUGACGCUGAUGCUCGAAAGUGUGGGUAUCAAACA